AGCGUCAAAAGGGCAUCCGGGGGAUGUCUUGGCGGUAAGAGGCGAUGAAGGACGUGGCACUCUGCGAUAAGCACGGGGGAGGCGAGAGCACCCUUUGAUCCCGUGAUUUCCGAAUGGGGAAACCCACCUCCGAGAUGAGAGACUACAGGCUGGCAUCCGUGUCAGCCCUUGGUCUUUCAUUUCACUAGAGAGGUAUUUCACACUGAAUACAUAGGUGUUGAAAAGCAAACCCGGGGAAUUGAAACAUCUAAGUACCCGGAGGAAAGGACAUCAAUUGAGACUCCGUUAGUAGUGGCGAGCGAACGCGGACCAGGCCAGUGGCAUGGUUAAGUAAAGUGGAACGAUCUGGAAAGUUCGGCCGUAGCGGGUGAUAGCCCCGUACACGUAAUCCUUAAUCUUGUCCUUGAGUAAGGCGGGACACGUGAAAUCCUGUCUGAACAUGGGGGGACCACCCUCCAAGCCUAAGUACUCGUGCAUCACCGAUAGCGAACCAGUACCGUGAGGGAAAGGUGAAAAGAACCCCGAUAAGGGGAGUGAAAUAGUUCCUGAAACCGGAUGCCUACAAGCAGUCGGAGGGCGCAAGCCUGACGGCGUACCUUUUGUAUAAUGGGUCAACGACUU
rnacentral:rRNA from 1 species